rnacentral:tRNA from 1 species
GAUGAGAUGGCUCAAUAGUUUAGAGCACUGACUGCUCUUCCAGAGGGCCUGGGUUCAAUUCGCAGCUCACCA